rnacentral:lncRNA from 1 species
UGCGUGCUGCUUUGGCGGCUGGCGUCCCCUGGGCCACUCUGUUUGGCUCUUCCUGACGCGGUGCUAAAAUCUUUCCUGUAAUAGUACCGCUGCAGCAGGAGAUCGAGUGACUGACAAAAAAGUGAACUAAGGAAAACGUUCUGGGGUUCUUAAAGCUGUCGUCCUGAGGUUAUGAGCAAUGUUGCCAGAAGAUACGGUGCUUUCGAUCAGCUACCUUUAUUAUCGUUUCAAGCAGGAUUCACGAGCGGAUUGCAUGACUGCUAAGAAAGGGGCUUCACAAAGAUGGAUCCUGCCAGUUUGGUAGCAAUAGAGAACUUCGGUUUUGCAGCUGGAGUGUACUUGCCCACUUUUGAGCCUUUGAGCAAAUCCUUCUACAGAUUUACACGUUCCAGUUAUGUAGGUACAACACUUCCCCUGGAUGUGUGGGAUGGCUGGAAAGACUGCUUGACUGCAUGUCUCUUAGGAAACAAAGUACAGCAUUAUCUGCCUGAGGAAAAGCCAGUACUUAAGUAUGGAUCCUUUGCAUAA